GGAAUGAGCGGGGACCACCCCGUAAGCCUAAAUACUCCUUAGUGACCGAUAGCGCAUAGUACUGUGAAGGAAAGGUGAAAAGGACCCCGGGAGGGGAGUGAAAGAGAACCUGAAACCCUGUGUUUACAAGCUGUGGAAGUGCCUUAUGUGCACAACCGCGUACUUUUUGUAGAACGGUCCGGCGAGUUGCGGAUGCCGGCAAGGUUAAGCACUUAAGGUGUGGAGCCGAAGGGAAACCAAGUCUGAAUAGGGCGAAAGUCAGUCGGAGUAGACCCGAAACCGGGUGAUCUACCCAUGUCCAGGUUGAAGCUGCCGUAAGAGGUAGUGGAGGACCGAACACACAUCCGUUGAA
rnacentral:rRNA from 1 species